GCCAGGUGUGGUGGUGUAUUUCUAUGUCCCUGCUACGCAGGAAGCUGAAUCCAGGAGUUCUAGGCUAUAGUGUGCUAUGCCAGUUGGAUGUUUGCACUGUUUGACAUCUAUAUGGUGACCUCCUAGGAGCAGGGACCACCAGGUUGCCAAAGAGUGGGGAGCCAGCCCAGGCCGGAAAUAAAGCAGGUCAAACCCCAAUGCUAAUCAGUAAUGAGAUCACACCUGAAAAUAGCCACUGCACUCCAGUCUGGGCUU
ensembl:misc_RNA Metazoa_SRP Metazoan signal recognition particle RNA